AUCUGGUUGAUCCUGCCAGUAGUCAUACGUUCGUCUCAAAGAUUAAGCCAUGCAUGUGUAAGUAUAAAUAAUUUUACUUUGAAACUGCGAAUGGCUCAUUAUAUCAGUUAUAGUUUAUUAGAAAUAUUUUACUACUUGGAUAACCGUAGUAAUUCUAGGGCUAAUACAUGAGUAAAACCUCAACUUCGGAAGAGGUGUGUUUAUUAGUAUGAAAACCAUAUAUCUUCGGAUAUAAUAGUGAGUAAUAAUAACCUUUCAUAUCGUAUGUCGUAAGAUAACGAUAGUUCUUUCAAGUUUCUGCCCUAUCAGCUUUCGAUGGUAGUAUAUGGGACUACCAUGGCAGUAACGGGUAACGAAGAAUUUGGGUUCGAUUUCGGAGAGGGAGCCUGAGAGAUGGCUACCACAUCCAAGGAAGGCAGCAGGCGCGUAAAUUACCCAAUCCUGACAUAGGGAGGUAGUGACAAUAAAUCACAAUGCGGAACUUUUAGUUUUGCAAUUGGAUUGAGAACAAUGUACAAAUGUUAUCGAUAAACAAUUGGAGGGCAAGUCUGGUGCCAGCAGCCGCGGUAAUUCCAGCUCCAAUAGCGUAUAUUAACGUUGUUGCAGUUAAAAAGCUC
rnacentral:rRNA from 1 species